CACGGGCUCCUCAAUAAUAAAUGUGCGUUAUCUUCUCCACCAUGCCAUUGGUAUUCUCCCACUUUAUUUCCCCCUUCUCUUCGUAUCCUCCGUCCGGUUCCACUCAUCGAAAUAAAUCAACCCAUUCAUACUCGCCGUGCAAAAGCUACCAUACACACCUCACCUUCAGCGGCGAUGGUGGUGCUCAUGGCGCGGUGCUGCUGCCAGCCCGGCGUUCGUGGGGGUGGGGGUCGCCCCCAAAUACCAGGAUGCUGCUGCUGACCCGGGCCCCCUGUGAGCCUGCAAUCCGUUGCCGAAUCAAGCCCCGCGGGCAGUGCUGACCCAAGCCCGCGCCCCGAUGUCGACCAUAGCUCUAGGCGAGCCACACGUCUCACCGUUGUCGUCGUCCUCCAACAUCACCUGUGUCAAAAGGUGAGGGCUCUCCUUCCUCUCUAUCUCGACGAAUCCUAACGAUCUUGAGUUUGUUUGGGUUGGAAGCUCUGAUUUGUGUGGGGCAGGAAGCAUUUUUUAGAAGGCAGAUCUGUUAUGUCUCCAGCGUACUCUUCCGCCCACCAAGUCCGUUGGAAGGAAUAAACAAAUGAAACAACUUUGAUUGGAAACGAUGGGUCGUACUGUUCUCUCUUCUUUUUCUUUUGUAUAUAAGGCGCUGAUUGGAAGGAAUAAGUACGUGCAACUACAAUCCCGCAUCUCUCUCUCUCUCUCUCUCUCUCAUACAUGCACACACGUGUAGGUUAGUAUGAAUUUUAUUGUUUUUUUUUGCUUUGAUUGUUUUGUGAAUCAAGGCAUAUUCUUUUGGUCAUUUUCAGGUAUGUUCCUGACAGACAGUACUAUUCCACUAUGAAUGCCAUCAGAACGAUCCGAUACCCGAAUAGAUGGUUUAUUAGGCAUAUGUGUGUUUCAUUAGUACUGUUCUAUCUGAACAUCAUCUAGCCUGUCGAGCUAGCACAGUGAUAGAUUAGCCAUGUGUUUCAGAUUUAUCAUUCAAAAUGGAAGAUUCUGUAAAUAUUGUUGUGGAUAUGAGUUGCAGGUUAAUCGACUAGCGGCUUCAAGUGUAAGUUUAAAAGGCAAUUUUCCAGAUAUUAUACAAAUAAAAUAAAAUAAAUCAUAUUUGCAUUUGUUUUACAUAAUGAUGUGUUAUACAUUUCCUUCCAUAAAUUGAAGCUUUCAUAAUCGAUUGCAGGGUUGUAGCUUCUGUGCUAAAUGAUCAACACAAGAAUUUCUCUGUGCUGGGGCCGGAUGUUGAGGAGAUCAAGCUACUGUUUGUAAAUGAGGGUUCAUCGAGAAGCAAACACAACGGCGCAUAUGAUGGCGAAGGAAGGGGUCUUGAAUGAUCUUCGUAAAGUAUGGCUGCAUGUGCCACCUGAUAGUAUCAUGCAUGUAAUUUGAAAUCCCUGAACUUCAUGAAUAAAUAGAGUGAGGAAGUUAAUCUAAAAAAAAAUGAAGCUUUUAUUAA